UACGUAGGGGGCAAGCGUUGUCCGGAAUCAUUGGGCGUAAAGGGCGCGUAGGUGGCCUGGCAAGCGUGCGGUGAAAGCUCGGGGCUCAACCCCGAGUCGGCCGUGCGAACUGCUAUGGCUCGAGCACUGUAGAGGCAGGCGGAAUUCCGGGUGUAGCGGUGGAAUGCGUAGAGAUCCGGAAGAACACCGGUGGCGAAGGCGGCCUGCUAGGCAGUAGCUGACACUGAGGCGCGACAGCGUGGGGAGCAAACAGG
rnacentral:rRNA from 1 species